GCCAGUUUUUGUCAGCUGUCCAGUGUUUUUCAAUGACUGUGAUAGCGUUACACUUCUGGGAGAUAAAGACGCUGCUUUUCUUGCUAAGUGUACGUCAUUGUUCUAGUGAUUUAUCACUGGCUUUGGGCAGUAUUAGGCUUCUUUGAGAGUGUGCCCAAAAUUAGCUUUGGCUGAUGGGUGCUAGUCUGGAAGCAUACACA